AAAAAAACAAUUGUAUUGCUUGAUAUUACAUGCAUCUUCUUUGUCCCUUGUUUUUUUCCUAGCAUUUUUUUUCAUUAUUAAUAUUUUGAGUACUAUACAAUUUAGAAUUAAGUUCCAGUGCUGAUUUUCACUUUCUGCAAAAUGACUAUGAGAAGACUAUUUACAUUCAUGUGUCCUCACUCUAGUUUUCUACUUGCCAUUUUACAAUUACAGUAUCUGGCCAAUGUUUUUGAUGGGCAAGCAUGACAUGUGGCCGGCUUUAGGCCUUAGAAUGUUAUUGCAUGUUUGGUGGAAUUUUGGAAUGCUUCCUGUUGAAUUUUUCCUGUAUCAGUGGAAUUGGAGGUUGUUUUUGGUGCAUCAAAUAAAAUGUAGGAUUGUUUUGGAUACACAAAUAUUCCUUAGCUUAGGAUGCAAACCUUAAUAGGUUUUGUCAUGAAGUUUAUAGUUCAUGGCCACUAAUAAUAGGUGUUAUAUAGUUUAUGCACAUUGAUUCUGGUUAAUUUGCUUUCAAUUUCUAUUAUUUGUUUUGGCUUUAUGAUUGGUGUAUUGUAUUUGCAUGUUAGUAUGUGCUGGAGGAACUCAAUG
rnacentral:misc_RNA from 1 species